CCUACGGGAGGCAGCAGUGAGGAAUAUUGGUCAAUGGACGCAAGUCUGAACCAGCCAUGCCGCGUGCAGGAAGACGGCUCUAUGAGUUGUAAACUGCUUUUGUACGAGGGUAAACGCAGAUACGCGUAUCUGUCUGAAAGUAUCGUACGAAUAAGGAUCGGCUAACUCCGUGCCAGCAGCCGCGGUAAUACGGAGGAUUCAAGCGUUAUCCGGAUUUAUUGGGUUUAAAGGGUGCGUAGGUGGUCGGAUAAGUUAGAGGUGAAAUCCCGAGGCUCAACUUCGGAAUUGCCUCUGAUACUGUUCGGCUUGAGAGUAGUUGCGGUAGGCGGAAUGUAUGGUGUAGCGGUGAAAUGCUUAGAGAUCAUACAGAACACCGAUUGCGAAGGCAGCUUACCAAGCUACUUCUGACGUUUAGGCACGAAAGCGUGGGGAGCAAACAGGAUUAGAUACCCUUGUAGUC
rnacentral:rRNA from 1 species